UUUUGAAAACGCAAUGUCAAUUUGAGAAUUUCGUAUUGAUUCCAAUUGCGAGAUUAAUGAUUCAAUUGAUGAUUUGAGUUCUGAUUCUUCACUUUUCCAAGCUUUCUUUUCUUCUCGUAACGCUUUUAUUUUGUUGUUAAAAUCAUUUUCCCACUUAACCCUACGAUUUAGAGCUGCCUGUGAUUCUGAGCGAUGUUUGUCAAUUUCAGAAUUCAGUAACUCUAUCUGAGCUUUAUAUCUUUUGUUGGUUAAAAGCAAUUUUUGCCUUUCUGAUUCCACAGCCAUAUCUAGUAUGUGCUCACGAUGAAGCUUUCCAAUAUUUUGCAAGUGCUGCUGACGAACAAAUUUUUCAAAACGGAGCUCAUUCUGAAGAAAUAGCAGAUCCCUUUGUAAGCGUCGAAUUGUAUCGUUCGUGCUGCUCAAACUUUCACUAGUCAGUUCCAAAUUAUUUGAGCCGCGUUCACCUUUAACCAUGUGAAUUGAGGAAACACCUUCACUAUAUGAUGUACCAUGCGAAAUAUUAUCAUAAGAAUCUUCAGUAUUUGAUAAUUGGGCUUUGUCAAAUGUAGUCGCGGAAUGAACAGAACCCGAUAUUGAUGGAUUUUGAGGCCAAGAUAUGGAAAAAGGCUCAGAAGCAAUAUCAUGGCUUUCAUUUGGAUAGGCCAAUAAUCCAGUAGCUGAACUUGUCUCUUCAUAAGUGGUGGGAAGCUUACCACCAAAAGGAUCCAUAACACUUUCGGCUAUUCCAACAGCGUUAAGACUAUUACAUAGGGCCACUACAGCAAUAGAAUCAAGUCUUGUCCAACGGGAUUUAUCGGUAAGUUCUGUUUCUGCUGUAUAUUUAAGAAAAUUAGAAUGUGCCAAAUGUCUACCGAGAAGACCAUCCGACUUUGUGGAGAGGAGUUCUUGAUUAAAGGAAUAACGUAUUUGGAAAUUAUGUUUAGAAGCAUACAACUUAGGAUCCCGAAGAAACUCUAAAAAGUUUAUAGGGUACAGAGCGUACAAAAUUGAGAAAAGUUGAGAGUAGUCAAGACUUUCGAGAUAAUCUGGUUGAGAAGAACCAACAAUAUCAUGAACAUCAUUGUAAGAGCUAUCUGUUUGAGAGGUGGUAGUUGAGGCAUACGUUGACAUAAAAUCGUGAAACACCUCCCAAUUACCAGACGCAGUAGACGAUGGGAAGCCAGAGGUCGGGUCAAUCAUUGAAAAUCGAAGAUAGAUACAGAACAAUCUAUAUAAGGAAUCGUCUAAGGAGUUACAAAUGUGAGACAGUAUCAUAAGGAUGAAAGAUAAUGCAUACGACAGUAAGAUUGGUGAAGUAUCAAAUUCCGCACAUUUUAAAACAAGGUCAUAGAAGCCAGUCUGUGGUAUUUCAUAUAAACGAGGACCUUGCCGCCGUAUUACUUCAACCAUAACUGAUAAAAUAGGGAUUCGGGUUGGAGGAUUUAAAAAAUGAUGACAAAAACAAGAAGAAAGUUCCUUUGGUCUCUGUAUCCCAUAAUGGACGAGAACAUUAACCAAGCAUUCAAUAGUUUGAUUCCUUUGCUCUUGAGAUUCCACGUCACCUAGAUUUUCGAUAGCUUUAGAAACGUAAAGGUCAACCAAACGAGUGAUAGUUUCCUCAGCGCACUCCCGUCUCAAGUCUCCACCCCAUUCAUCCUCGUCGUGAAAAAUUAAAAUGUAAAAUAAAAUACUUUUCAAGUCACUAAAUACCGGUUUCAAUUGGGUAGGAGAAUUCAAGAAAGGAAAAAAGAUCUGGUCCCACCAUUCACCAACUGCUUGGCGAUCCAAAAUCAACAACGGUAUAACCGUUUUCAACACAGCUAGCCAUAGUAUCCGUCGCCUUGUAUUAUUGAACGGCGUCUUUUCGUAGAUCUCGUCCAAGAUGUGUCUUAUUUUUUGUGAGUUAGUGGGGUUUUGUUUGGGAUAACGCUGCUGAUACGACUCAACUUCCGCAAUUAACUCAGUCAAAUCGGGAUAGCCUUCCGAUUCUUCUUCAUGAAGGACGUUCCAUAAUGCUUUGACUAGCGAUUGCAGCGGCAUUCGUACAAAGUUGGCAAAGUCAACGUUGAUAUACAACUAUGCGACAUUAUACUGAUAGCAAGUCUUGGCAGCAUUGAUAAACGUAACGAGGAUAGCGUAGUCUGCCACAUUUUUUUAAUUAGUCUUUGCAUUUUCAACCAAAUUAUACAGCGCUAUCCAAAAAUCCUUUAACUAGAUUACAUGUCAACCAUACAGG